GAGUUUGAUCAUGGCUCAGGAUGAACGCUAGCGGCAGGCUUAAUACAUGCAAGUCGAACGGUAACAGGUGUAGCAAUACAUGCUGACGAGUGGCAGACGGGUGAGGAACUCGUACGCAAUCUCCCUCUUUCUGGUGAAUAGCCCUGAGAAAUUAGGAUUAAUACACCAUAGUAUUACGAAGUGGCAUCAUUUUGUAAUUAAAACUCCGGUGGAAAGAGAUGAGCGUGCGCCUGAUUAGGUAGUUGGUGAGGUAACGGCUCACCAAGCCUACGAUCAGUAACUGGUGUGAGAGCACGACCAGUCACACGGGCACUGAGAUACGGGCCCGACUCCUACGGGAGGCAGCAGUAAGGAAUAUUGGUCAAUGGAGGCAACUCUGAACCAGCCAUGCCGCGUGAAGGAUGAAGGCCCUCUGGGUUGUAAACUUCUUUUAUCUGGGAAGAAAUCCACUGUUUCUACGGUGGUUGACGGUACCAGAGGAAUAAGCACCGGCUAACUCCGUGCCAGCC
rnacentral:rRNA from 1 species